UGGGGAAUAUUGCACAAUGGGCGAAAGCCUGAUGCAGCAACGCCGCGUGAGGGACGACGGCCUUCGGGUUGUAAACCUCUUUUAGCAAGGAAGAAGCGAAAGUGACGGUACUUGCAGAAAAACGCGCCGGCUAACUACGUGCCAGCAGCCGCGGUAAUACGUAGGGCGCAAGCGUUAUCCGGAAUUAUUGGGCGUAAAGAGCUCGUAGGCGGUUUGUCGCGUCUGCUGUGAAAACCCGAGGCUCAACCUCGGGCCUGCAGUGGGUACGGGCAGACUAGAGUGCGGUAGGGGAGAUUGGAACUCCUGGUGUAGCGGUGGAAUGCGCAGAUAUCAGGAAGAACACCGAUGGCGAAGGCAGAUCUCUGGGCCGUAACUGACGCUGAGGAGCGAAAGGGUGGGGAGCAAAACAGGCUUAGAUACCCUGGUAGUCCACCCCGUAAACGUUGGGAACUAGUUGUGGGUCCAUUCCACGGAUUCCGUGACGCAGCUAACGCAUUAAGUUCCCCGCCUGGGGAGUACGGCCGCAAGGCUAAAACUUAAAUGAAUUGACGGGGUCAUAGCUGUUUCCU
rnacentral:rRNA from 1 species